CAGCAGCCGCGGUAAUACGAAGGGUGCAAGCGUUAAUCGGAAUUACUGGGCGUAAAGCGUGCGUAGGCGGUGAGUUAAGUCUGCUGUGAAAUCCCCGGGCUCAACCUGGGAAUGGCAGUGGAUACUGGCUCGCUAGAGUGUGUCAGAGGAUGGUGGAAUUCCCGGUGUAGCGGUGAAAUACGUAGAGAUCGGGAGGAACAUCAGUGGCGAAGGCGGCCAUCUGGGACAACACUGACGCUGAGGCACGAAAGCGUGGGGAGCAAACAGGAUUAGAUACCCGCGUAGUCCCUGUCUCUUAUAC
rnacentral:rRNA from 1 species